AGAGGAGCCGCUGCGUGGGCACAGGCAGAAGGACAGAGCCUUUUCAAACCCACAGCAGUCCUUGCAGGAGGCACUCAGCAUGCUCAGCAGCGAUGACUGGGAACAGAAGAAGAAGGGACUCUUAAACAUCACACACCUGGCUGAGUCCCAUUCCGAAGUCCUGCUUUGUCGGCUUCGUGAGAUUUGCUUGGCAGUUACCAGCGAGGUGACCAACCUGCGGUCCAAGGUGUCGUGCUCUGCAAUUGUCACUCUGGGAGAUCUCUUUGCCAUCUUGAGGAAGGACAUGGACUCCGAGGCGGAUGAG